rnacentral:rRNA from 1 species
GAUGAACGCUGGCGGCGUGCCUAAUACAUGCAAGUCGAGCGAACAGAUGAGGAGCUUGCUCCUCUGACGUUAGCGGCGGACGGGUGAGUAACACGUGGAUAACCUACCUAUAAGACUGGGAUAACUUCGGGAAACCGGAGCUAAUACCGGAUAAUAUAUUGAACCGCAUGGUUCAAUAGUGAAAGGCGGUUUUGCUGUCACUUAUAGAUGGAUCCGCGCCGCAUUAGCUAGUUGGUAAGGUAACGGCUUACCAAGGCAACGAUGCGUAGCCGACCUGAGAGGGUGAUCGGCCACACUGGAACUGAGACACGGUCCAGACUCCUACGGGAGGCAGCAAUAGGGAAUCUUCCGCAGUGGGCGAAAGCCUGACGGAGCAACGCCGCGUGAGUGAUGAAGGUCUUCGGAUCGUAAAACUCUGUUAUUAGGGAAGAACAAAUGUGUAAGUAACUAUGCACGUCUUGACGGUACCUAAUCAGAAAGCCACGGCUAACUACGU